GGAUUGCAGCCUGCAACUCGGCUGCAUGAAGCUGGAAUCGCUAGUAAUCGCGGAUCAGAAUGCCGCGGUGAAUACGUUCCCGGGUCUUGUACACACCGCCCGUCACACCAUGGGAGCCGGGAAUGCCCGAAGUCAGUGGCCCAACCGCAGGGAGGGAGCUGCCGAAGGUGGAGCUGGUAACUGGGGUGAAGUCGUAACAAGGUACC
rnacentral:rRNA from 1 species